rnacentral:rRNA from 1 species
AUUGAACGCUGGCGGCAGGCCUAACACAUGCAAGUCGAACGGUAACAGGAAACAGCUUGCUGUUUCGCUGACGAGUGGCGGACGGGUGAGUAAUGUCUGGGAAACUGCCUGAUGGAGGGGGAUAACUACUGGAAACGGUAGCUAAUACCGCAUAACGUCGCAAGACCAAAGAGGGGGACCUUCGGGCCUCUUGCCAUCGGAUGUGCCCAGAUGGGAUUAGCUUGUUGGUGGGGUAACGGCUCACCAAGGCGACGAUCCCUAGCUGGUCUGAGAGGAUGACCAGCCACACUGGAACUGAGACACGGUCCAG